rnacentral:pre_miRNA from 1 species
UUUUAAUAAUUUCAUCCAUUUCUACUGUUAAAAAUUGGCAUGCCUGACAAAAUAACUAGUUAAUUACAUGUGGCAUGCCAUGUAUACCUCAUUUUGACAUACAAGGACUAGUUUUAACAAUAGAGAUGGGUAAAUUUUUUAUCA